GGAGCAGGGGCAGAAAGUGACCGUGAAGGAGCAGGGGAGACAAAAGUGUUAUAGACUGACCCAGCCCCCACUCCCUGUCCCCUGCGCCGCUCAGGGGGAGGAGGUGGAAAAGGGUGGAUGGGGGAAAGUGGUUUGGGUUUCUUUCCUUUGUUUCUCACUUCUCUAGCUUGUUAGUAAUAGGCAAUAAAUUUUACUGUCUCCCUACUCUGAGUCUGUUUUGCCCAUCAUGAUAAUUGUUGAGUGACAUCCCCAUCCUUAUCUCAACCCUUGAGCCCUUUUCAUUGUAUUUUCUCCCGCCUUUCCCUUUGAGGAGGGGGAGUGAGAGAACAGCUGUGGUUGAGCUUGGCUGCCCACCCGUGUAAAACCACCAUAUCUUCUGAGGAAGAGGUUAAUGUAGAAACUGUAAGCUUUCUUUGACUGAUGGUUCUCACCCUGGUGUUUACAUAUGAUCUGGCCCCACUUAUGUGCUUUUCUUAUGCACUGUGAAAAUGACCUUCCACAACAACUGUCAGAGGGAACUCAUACAAGGAGUGCCCUUAUACAAAACAUAUGGCAAAAUAACACAUGAAUAAGCAACAAAUAAACAUUACAAGUAAAGGUCCAGUUCUCAAACUUCAAGAGUUUGGUGUAGUAAGGUACAAAAAAUCUGGCUUAAGAAUCUAUGCAAACACAUGUAAAGUAGACGUGGAGAUCUAAUUCAGCACUUGGUGAAUGAAGAUAUUACUCUCCUGCAGUUUUGAACAUGACAUGGAUUUCCUUCAAAACGAUGAGUAUCUGCUAGGGUCUUAAGGCUGGAUGUGGAUCUCACAGCUUGCCUUUUUCUUGCUGUGAUUUCAGGUUUGCUGUCUCUACUUCUGCUCUCAAGUCACAGGGAAGGAUUUUCAAGAAGGCACUUGAAUGUACUUGAAGGACAUUAGCAAAGGCUCAGCGUCAACAGAAGUGUCCGAAUUCAUCGCAUAUCAUUUGAGUGGAUAUAUGAAUGAUUUGCUCCAACAGCUUGAGAAGCUAACAGGAAUAUGCAAGCAGGCCUUGGAUCAAGGCUGCCACAGAUAG
rnacentral:lncRNA from 1 species